UACGAAGGGGGCUAGCGUUGCUCGGAAUCACUGGGCGUAAAGGGUGCGUAGGCGGGUCUUUAAGUCAGGGGUGAAAUCCUGGAGCUCAACUCCAGAACUGCCUUUGAUACUGAAGAUCUUGAGUUCGGGAGAGGUGAGUGGAACUGCGAGUGUAGAGGUGAAAUUUCGUAGAUAUUCGCAAGAACACCAGUGGCGAAGGCGGCUCACUGGCCCGAUACUGACGCUGAUGCACGAAAGCGUGGGGAGCAAACAGG
rnacentral:rRNA from 1 species